rnacentral:rRNA from 1 species
UACGUAGGGGGCUAGCGUUGUCCGGAAUCAUUGGGCGUAAAGCGCGUGUAGGCGGUUCGGUAAGUCCGCUGUGAAAGUCGGGGGCUCAACCCUCGAAUGCCGGUGGAUACUGUCGGGCUAGAGUGCGGAAGAGGCGAGUGGAAUUCCUGGUGUAGCGGUGAAAUGCGUAGAUAUCUGGAGGAACACCAGUGGCGAAAGCGCGUGACUGGGCCACAACUGACGCUGAGGAACGAAAGCCAGGGGAGCGAAAGGG